rnacentral:rRNA from 1 species
CUGGUUCUCUAGGGAGCAUGUGCACACCUUGUCAUCUUUAUAUCUCCACCUGUGCACCUUUUGUAGACCCCCAGGUCUAUGUUGCUUCAUUUACUCCAAUGUAUGUCAAUAGAAUGUUUGUGCCUAUGAAAUCUAUACAACUUUCAGCAACGGAUCUCUUGGCUCUCGCAUCGAUGAAGAACGCAGCGAAAUGCGAUAAGUAAUGUGAAUUGCAGAAUUCAGUGAAUCAUCGAAUCUUUGAACGCACCUUGCGCUCCUUGGUAUUCCGAGGAGCAUGCCUGUUUGAGUGUCAUUAAUAUAUUAUCAACCCUCUUGUUUGAGUGGUUUGGAUGUUGGGGGCUUUUGCUGGCCUCUUAAAGGGGUUCAGCUCCCCUGAAAUACAUUAGCAGAACAACCUGUUUAUUCAUUGGCGUGAUAACUAUCUACGCUAUUGGAUGUGAGGCAGUUCAGUCCUUGGGACAAUUUAUCAUCUUAUGUGACCUCAAAUCAGGUAGGACUACCCGCUGAACUUAAGCAUAUCAAUAAG